CCCUCUUUAGCUCAGUUGGAAGAGCGCGAGACUGUAAUGCAUCUUGAGGUCUCUGGUUCGAUCCCGGAAGGAGGGA